rnacentral:rRNA from 1 species
CUCAGAACGAACGCUGGCGGCAGGCUUAAACACGAUGCAAGUCGAACGGGCGUAGCAAUACGUCAGUGGCAGACGGGUGAGUAACACGUGGGAACCUUCCUAGGGGUACGGAACAACUCAGGGAAACUUGAGCUAAUACCGUAUACGUCCGUGAGGAGAAAGAUUUAUCGCCCUUAGACGGGCCCGCGUCGGAUUAGCUAGUUGGUGGGGUAACGGCCUACCAAGGCGACGAUCCGUAGCUGAUCUGAGAGGAUGAUCAGCCACACUGGGACUGAGACACGGCCCAGACUCCUACGGGAGGCAGCAGUGGGGAAUCUUGGACAAUGGGCGCAAGCCUGAUCCAGCCAUGCCGCGUGAGUGAAGAAGGCCUUCGGGUUGUAAAGCUCUUUUGUCAGGGACGAUAAUGACGGUACCUGAAGAAUAAGCCCCGGCAAACUUCGUG